rnacentral:rRNA from 1 species
GGCGAUGUUUCAUUCAAAUUUCUGCCCUAUCAACUUUCGACGGUAGGGUAGUGGCCUACCGUGGUGGUAACGGGUGACGGAGGAUUAGGGUUCGAUUCCGGAGAGGGAGCCUGAGAAACGGCUACCACAUCCAAGGAAGGCAGCAGGCGCGCAAAUUACCCAAAUCCCAACUCGGGGAGGUAGUGACAAGAAAUAACGAUGCUCCGGCCAUCGGUCGGGUAAUCGGAAUGAGGACAAUUUAAAUCCCUUAUCGAGGAUCAAUUGGAGGGCAAGUCUGGUGCCAGCAGCCGCGGUAAUUCCAGCUCCAAUAGCGUAUAUUUAAGUUGCUGCGGUUAAAAAGCUCGUAGUCGGAUUUCGGGUGGUGCCUACCGGUCCGCCCUUGGUGUGUACUGGUAGGCGCCACCUUUCUGCCGAGGACGGGUUCCUGGGCUUAGCUGUCUGGGGCCCGGAGUCGGCGAUGUCACUUUGAGUAAAUUAGGGUGUUUAAAGCAGGCUUAUGCUCUGUAUACACUAGCAUGGGAUGACACGAUAGGACUUCGGUCUAUCUUGUCGGUCUGUAGAUCGGAGUAAUGAUUAAGAGGGACAGUCGGGGGCAUUCGUAUUUCGUAGUCAGAGGUGAAAUUCUUGGAUUUACGGAAGACGAACUUCUGCGAAAGCAUUUGCCAAGGAUGUUUUCAUUGAUCAAGAACGAAAGUCGGGGGCUCGAAGACGAUUAGAUACCGUCGUAGUCUCGACCAUAAACGAUGCCAAC